GGUUACUCCAUGCCUGAGCCUGCACCAAGGAAUAUCGAUGAUGAUGAUGGCUGGCUAACAUCAACUGAGAGAACAUCAUGGACUUUUCACAGGAGCUGAGGAGGGCCACAGGGGCAGGCCAAGGUGAGAUUCAGGAUUACUCAUGUAUCUACCAAUAAGCAAUGAGGCUCAGAACCCUGAAAUGAUGGAAGUUGACUGACCAAGCCUGCCGGAGCAUUUAUAAACAGAAGUUUGAUGAGCUCCUAUCAUUUGCACUGCUGCUUUCAAAAGCAAGCUAAAAUUAAAAUGGGAACUUGGCUCCCCACAUGAUUUCAUCCAACUAUGGGCUCAUGGUGGAAAAAAUACAGAAACAGUUCUCAAGUGUAAAGACAGGCAAGAAAACAAAACAAACAAAAAAAAAUGCAAGAAUCACUGUUGUCUUCCACAGUAAAUCAAUACAGUACAUUGUUAUUCUGUCCUUUUAUCGAAAUUCUACUCUCUCCAAAAAAGCAUCUCAGCACAGCAGUACAGAGCUGCCAGCCCCUUCACAAUGGAUUUUUUUUUUUGGUGUUGAAUACGAUACUAUUUGAAGCAACUCAGCACCCUCUCAAACUUGUCCCUAGGGAUUCCAGCUUCAAAGAGAUUGUCUACACUAGUGUACAACAGCAGAGUCUGCAAACUAUGGGUUGAUUUUAUUUAUUAGAGAGAGCGAGCACAGAAGGAGGGAGAGGAAGAAGGAGACUCCUCGCUGAGCCCGAUGCAGGGCUCCAUCCC
rnacentral:lncRNA from 1 species